AGCGUAGACGGUGUGGCAAGUCUGAUGUGAAAGGCAUGGGCUCAACCUGUGGACUGCAUUGGAAACUGUCAUACUUGAGUGCCGGAGGGGUAAGCGGAAUUCCUAGUGUAGCGGUGAAAUGCGUAGAUAUUAGGAGGAACACCAGUGGCGAAGGCGGCUUACUGGACGGUAACUGACGUUGAGGCUCGAAAGUGUGGGUAGCAAACA
rnacentral:rRNA from 1 species